UACGUAGGGAGCAAGCGUUGUCCGGAAUUAUUGGGCGUAAAGAGCGCGUAGGCGGUCCGAUAAGUCGGCUGUGGAAAGUCAGGGGCUCAACCCCUUGAAAGCCGGCCGAUACUGUCGGACUAGAGUCCGGAAGAGGCAAGUGGAAUUCCCGGUGUAGCGGUGAAAUGCGUAGAGAUCGGGAGGAAGGCCGGGUGGCGAAGGCGGCGCUCUGGAACAUUUCUGACGCUGAGGCUCGAAAGCGUGGGGAGCAAACAGGG
rnacentral:rRNA from 1 species